rnacentral:miRNA from 1 species
AAAGUUGAGUCGAUAAUGCGAU